GAUGGGUAUAUAUUCUCUAAAACUUACAGGAGGGGGUUGUGAGGAAAGUGCUGCAUUAGCAGAAAAACAACUCCAUAAAAGGAAAUCGGCCUUGGGUUCUCUUCGCUUGCAGAUAUCUUUCACCUGCAGGAUGAGGCGAUCGCUUCUUAUCGCUCUCAAGGCCAAAGUCGUGAGCACAUUUUUAUUACACAGUUGCACAGUAACUUUAAAGCUGAACAAUAUUUAAAGCUGAAUAAUGUUUAAAGCUGAACAAUAUUUAAAGCUGAAUAAUGUUUAAAGCUGAACAAUAUUUAAAGCUGAAUAAU
ensembl:lncRNA